rnacentral:rRNA from 1 species
UACGGGGGGGGCAAGCGUUGUUCGGAAUUACUGGGCGUAAAGGGUUUGUAGGUGGCCGGCUAAGUCAGACGUGAAAUCCCUCAGCUUAACUGGGGAACUGCGUCUGGGACUGGUCGGCUUGAGGGCCGGAGAGGAACGCGGAAUUCCAGGUGUAGCGGUGAAAUGCGUAGAUAUCAGGAGGAACACCUGUGGCGAAAGCGGCGCACUGGACCACAACUGACGCUGAGGCGCGAAAGCUAGGGGAGCAAAUAGG